rnacentral:rRNA from 1 species
GACGAGUCUCACGAACGUUAUUCGGAAUUACUGGGCUUAAAGGGUGCGUAGGCGGUGGAGUAAGUCGGAUGUGAAAUACCUUAGCUUAACUAGGGAACUGCACUCGAUACUACUUUGCUAGAGUAAGACAGAGGUGAGUGGAACUGAGGGUGGAGCGGUGAAAUGCGUUGAUAUCCUCAGGAACACCGGUGGCGAAGGCGGCGACCUGGGUAGAUACUGACGCUGAGGCGCGAAAGCGUGGGGAGCAAACAGG